AACGCAUCUUGCGCUCUGGGGUAUUCCUCAGAGCAUGCCUGUUUGAGUGUCGUGAACCAUCUCAACCCCGCCGGGUUUUCUUUUUUGGCCCGGUAGCUGGGAUUUGGAUCGUGGUCGUCUGCCGGCCGGGCAUUGUUUCGGUCUAGCUCGAUCGAAAGGCACGAGUGGCUGAUUUUCCCCCUGAUCUGGCCUGACUCGGCGUGAUAAUCAUUUCUUCGCCGAACGACGGAUGUGGAAAAGGGGGCAGUGGAAAGGCUGCUACCAACGAAGAUAACAUUCUUAUCAUCUUGACCUCAAAUCAGGUAGGAUUACCCGCUGAACUUAA
rnacentral:misc_RNA from 1 species